rnacentral:rRNA from 1 species
UUUUAUUUGAGAGUUUGAUCCUGGCUCAGGAUGAACGCUGGCGGCGUGCCUAACACAUGCAAGUUGAGCGAUUUACUUCGGUAAAGAGCGGCGGACGGGUGAGUAACGCGUGGGUAACCUACCCUGUACACACGGAUAACAUACCGAAAGGUAUGCUAAUACGGGAUAAUAUAUUUGAGAGGCAUCUCUUGAAUAUCAAAGGUGAGCCAGUACAGGAUGGACCCGCGUCUGAUUAGCUAGUUGGUAAGGUAACGGCUUACCAAGGCGACGAUCAGUAGCCGACCUGAGAGGGUGAUCGGCCACAUUGGAACUGAGACACGG